AAGCUGCCCACGGACGUCUUCUUCCUCUUCCGCCUUUGGUAACCGAGGAGUCAGUCUAGCGUUUUUAUUACUCCCAAUACUGUGUGUAACCGAGGAGUCAAUCCAGGACUGCCGCAUCCUUAUCAUCGUGUUUCUGCUCCCUCUGUCCAUCUAUGUCGAUCUCUUCGCCUCCUCUGCCUCGUGGCGCACCACACCUUCGCCGUUCGCCGUCUCCCCAGCCCCCACCCCUACGGUGUGCCUUGCGGCAGGCUCAGAUCUUGGAGAUGACCCACCGACGCGAUGCGUCCUGCCCGGAGAAAUCGUCGGUGGUGCCAACUUGUAGCCAUCGUGUGUGUGGAAGGUGGGGGAUUCCAAAAUUGACGAUUUUUCUGUUGUCUUCCAGGAUUCCCGAUCUGAAGUUGGGAAGCCAAAUUUGACAAUUUUCCUGUUGUCUUCCUGGGUUCCAUAGUAUUCACAUCAGUCAGCGGCCAUGCUCUAGAAGAUUUGCUAAUCAAGUUUCGCGUAUCGAAAAUCAAUUUUCUGGAGCGCUCCUUUAUGGGUGUUGGACAGGGUGAAUUAGGAGAAGGCUUUCAUGUCUCCAGGUCUAUCAAAGCUGUGGUGCCAUCUCCGACCUUCUAGCGCCUCCACCACAUCGUCGUAGCGUUUGCUCGAUGCAUCAGGGGCAAACCCCCCGACUUUCUUCCUUCUCCAGAGCCUAAGACCUCGCCGAUGAGCAGGUAUUUAAUCGCUUACAUCGAUCCCCAUUUAUAUUUCUCAAAAUAACCUUACUGUGUUGUUGAUUUUGCUUCGCACAUGUUUGUUUCCGCUCAAGUUACACUACAGGGCGAAAUCUCAAAUCUUAAAUGAUUUGCCGAUUAUUUUUGUCAUGCUUUCUAUAAUUAUAUUCAUAGAUUUUUGUAUUGUUUGCAUCCCCAAUGAUGCAUGCUUAUUGAUUUGUUCUUCUGGAUUUCCUACAUCAGUACAGGAUGCAUAGUUGGUUAUGAUACUAGGAAGGUUGGAGCUCUGAAUUUCAUUUGAUAUGCACUGUAUCCCAACAGGGAAAAAAUAUUAGAUCAGAUUGUCAAUCAGUUUAAGAGGGUUGGAGCUCUGAAUUUCAUUUGACAUGCACUAUAUCCCAACAGGAAAAUAAAAGAUUAGACCAGAUUGUCAAGCAGUUCAAGCGGUUCUUGAGGACUACAUAUUGUAUCUCUUGCUCUAUGUUUUUUGAAGUUUACUUCCAUAUAUCCAAGCAUGCAUAUGCCGUCUCACCAUCAUGUCUCAGCUUUACCAGGAGUUUUUUCUUCUUUAUUUCAGUUUCUUUCAAGAAUCAAGAUUACCUAGCACAAUGCAAGUUAGUAUACAAAUAAUUAUGUUUCAACUCAUGUACGCCUAAAGUGUUGGCUGCAUGUUGUCAUGAAAAUAGUAGCUACAUGGAUUAUAUCAGAUUAAGGUAAACACAUAUCUCUCCUUCCCCUUCCUUCACUGUUGUCCAUCAGGAUGGUCCCAUCUUCCUGCCUCUUCGUUUCAGUUCAACCUUCUGACCGCAAGCAUUCCUACCCCAUAGUAGUAGGCACUCAAGAUAUCUUCUUGCUGCAUUCCUUAUUUUGCUGCAUAGAUUAACACUAUACUUUGUAUGAUGAUAUAAACCUUUCAAGAGUUUUAUGGUUAAUACAGUCGCUUUGUGAUCAUCUAUAUUCUGCAAUCUGGAUGUUCUAGCAAUAACAUGGUUUGCUCCUUUAUUCUUGCAUUGCAGGUAUACAACACACUAUAGACAUUCUUUUAUAUAUUUUAUCCAAAUCAAUUUAACCUCACACAACACUGAUGGCCGAUGACCUUCCGUGCUCUUGAAUCGAUAAAUAACUGAUGAAGAUUUUAACUUACAAAUAUGUAGUCCAUUUAUCAUCCCUUUGGUUAUAUUGUCAUAGAAUACAAUCACGGGCCUGAGAGAAGACAUGAGAAGUGGAUGGCUUAAAUGUGAAUUGCAUAAACGUUAGUCAUAUGUAGUGUGUUUCUCACAAUUAAGCGUACAUGCCAAUUUUUUUCAUUUGUGAUCGUAAGUACAUGUUAAAAAUCAUAUAGAAACGAUUCAGCCUUCAAUACUUUUUAAACUAUGAUAAGUUAUCGAUGCAUCCAAGUGUGAUAGGCAAACUGUGUCCUGAUGGAAAGGGUAGUGAGACCUUAGGUGACUGUCCCAGUUUGAUAAAGAGAACAUGAAACAUAAAAUUUAUACAAAUAGUUAUACAGCUGCACCUAAGUCAAAGGUAAAUAAGAUCCACAUGAUAGGCGAUUAAUCACAGUAAAACACACAGUAAGAAGGAACCAGACAUAGAAUUAAUCAGAGCAAACUGAAUGAUUGUGUAAUAUUGAAAUAGAGGCAUAUAGUUACUUUGUUAUUAUCUCUAUACUACGGUUAGGAUGUCCUAGCAAUUACAUGGUUUAUUCGUUUGUGCAGGUCCAAACAUGUACACACUGCACUCCGGGCAUUCUUUUAUAUUAUCCCCAUAUCAAUAUGAGCUCACACAACAUUGAUGGCCGACAACCUUAUCUUCCCUUGGAUCCACAUAUAACUGGUGGGUGAAAACUUUUAUUCUCUACUCUUGAAUCGAGCUAAUUUUUACCAUUGCAGAAUUUCAGUCACUUACAGGAACGCACUUCAACUUAUCCACCAGAGUUAAUCAGAAGUGCUUGCAUCGCACCAUACUACAAACCAUUUCGUGUCAUUCCAGAAUAAAUUGUAUGUAACACAUUUUGCUCGCCCCUUUUACCCUGUGUAAUUCUGCACAUGUUUGUAUCUCGAGCACAUGAUUUUUGAUGUACAAAUAUUUCACUACAAGUUGGGAUACGCAUUUGCAAACUUAUAUUUUGUUUGCAAACUUACAAGCCUUCUGCAUGGAUCAUGUAUUUCUGUUCAGAGUCCAUUGCCAGCCUUUAAUUCCAUCGACACUGCUACCUUCCAGUACAAAGUCUUCAGGGAAUAACAGAAGGCUUCAGGGAAUAGCAGUGUGAACAAAACGAAGUGCAAUAUUACUAUACAAAAUUGCAGAGAAGCGAGAUGCUCCCUCAAUUCAUCCUUGCUGGUAACUAUGCUAAGCAAAUUAUUCACUUUGGUUUUGCUGAAAGGAGUUUGGCAAAUCCAUGCAAUUAUGCUACUUAUAUGUAAUGUAUAUUGUAAAACUAUACAAUAAUCAAGUACAGUAAAUCAAAGUAUUAUUUCCA
rnacentral:rRNA from 1 species